AUUGAACGCUGGCGGCAGGCUUAACACAUGCAAGUCGAGCGGGGUGAUGGUGCUUGCACUAUCACUUAGCGGCGGACGGGUGAGUAAUGCUUAGGAAUCUGCCUAUUAGUGGGGGACAACAUCUCGAAAGGGAUGCUAAUACCGCAUACGUCCUACGGGAGAAAGCAGGGGAUCACUUGUGACCUUGCGCUAAUAGAUGAGCCUAAGUCGGAUUAGCUAGUUGGUGGGGUAGAGGCCUACCAAGGCGACGAUCUGUAGCGGGUCUGAGAGGAUGAGCCGCCACACUGGGACUGAGACACGGCCCAGACUCCUACGGGAGGUAGCAGUGGGGAAUAUUGGACAAUGGGGGGAACCCUGAUCCAGCCAUGCCGCGUGUGUGAAGAAGGCCUUAUGGUUGUAAAGCACUUUAAGCGAGGAGGAGGCUCUUUUGGUUAAUACCCAAGAUGAGUGGACGUUACUCGCAGAAUAAGCACCGGCUAACUCUGUGCCAGCCGCCGCGGUAA
rnacentral:rRNA from 1 species